rnacentral:rRNA from 1 species
GUGAGGAAUUUUGGACAAUGGGCGCAAGCCUGAUCCAGCAAUGCCGCGUGUGUGAAGAAGGCCUUCGGGUUGUAAAGCACUUUUGGUAGGAAAGAAAUAGUGCGUGCUAAUACCAUGCGCGAAUGACGGUACCUGCAGAAUAAGCACCGGCUAACUACGUGCCAGCAGCCGCGGUAAGACGUAGGGUGCAAGCGUUAAUCGGAAUUACUGGGCGUAAAGCGUGCGCAGGCGGUUUUGUAAGACAGGUGUGAAAUCCCCGGGCUCAACCUGGGAACUGCACUUGUGACUGCAAGGCUAGAGUGUGUCAGAGGGAGGUGGAAUUCCGCGUGUAGCAGUGAAAUGCGUAGAGAUCUGGAGGAAUACCGAUGGCGAAGGCAGCCAUCUGGCCUAAUACUGACACUGAGGUGCGAAAGCAUGGGGAGCAAACAGGAUUAGAUACCCGGGUAGUCC